UACGUAGGGUGCGAGCGUUAUUCGGAAUUACUGGGCGUAAAGCGCGUGCAGGCGGGAAGGUAAGUCUGAUGUGAAAGCCCCGGGCUUUACCCGGGAAGUGCAUUGGAAACUGCUUUUCCUGAGUACUGGAGAGGAAGGGGGAAUUUCCGGUGUAGAGGUGAAAUUCGUAGAGAUCGGGAGGAAUACCAGUGGCGAAGGCGCCCUUCUGGACGGUUACUGACGCUGAGACGCGAAAGCGUGGGGAGCAAACAGG
rnacentral:rRNA from 1 species